AACAAUAUGUAUAAUAAUCUAUUACACAAAAAUAUUCAAAUGAUCAAAUUCUGAUUGACACAAACUAACUACAAAGGAAAGUGGAAAGUCCUACUGCGAAAAUUGUGGUACAUAUCAAGAAACCAUAACACCUGGUAAGCAUAUUCUGCUAAUUUGAAUGAGAACUUUCAUAUUAUAUUUACUCUUAAUGAGAGUGGUAUGUAAAAAUUGCUAAACUUAUUGGAUGGGAAGAUCUCAGAAGCACCAAGCAAACCAUUUAUGUUUACUGAGAUAGAGAAAUAAUGCUUGACAAAGAUCAGUAUAAGGCGGACAGUUAUUAGAUAAGGGUCAAAACUUAGCACUAUGAGAAACAUGUCAAAUUGUAAUUAUUCGAAACACAUUCAUACAUGCACUUUUGUGAGUUUUAUGUUGUUCUUGGAAACAACCCUUCUAUCCUACAGCCUUUUCAGUUGAAGAGAACAAAGAGAAAAGCUUCAGUGUUAUAGGCAUCUCCCACAACACAUGUGAAAAAACUAAAAUCUAUUGCAUAUCAAUUAACACAUAUGGGCCAAAGUCAGUGAAUACAUGCAAGCCUUCUUUCUUUGUCUUAAAUACACCAAUUAUUAAUAUAAGUUGCUAAUAUAUGGUAACAACAAAUAGAAAGAACACACCUUUUAUCCAACAAAUAUUGAACACUUUUUGCUAUAGGAAACUUCAUAUAAUUAUUACGGUUGUCUUGAAGAGACAAUAAUCAAAGUUGGGCAGAAUGUCAACUAAAAAAAUAGGUUCGAUUCCCUAAAACAACGCAAGGCACAUCAAUGGCAAGUGACAUAAGUUAUAUCCUAGAACACUAUGAAGAACAUGGCCGUCCAACCCGACGACACAGCUCUAGGCCAGCGCCACGAACUGGAGAGCAACGCCACUCAGUGAAACGAAUCUCUUAUUUUCUCCGGUGACCUCGAAGCCUUGCUGCUUGGGGGCAAAAAAUCCUUCUCUCCAACAGAAAAUUUCUACACCGGAAAAGACGGAGAAAGGUCAGGUGACCUUAAUCAUCCCCUUCUCAUAGCCAUAGCAAAUCUCCAUAAAGAAUCCAUGCCAUUGCUGGAGGUUAGCAGACCAAGAUCUGGGAAGGAAGGAGAAGGAGAGGAAGAUGAGUGAUUACCUAGAGGAGUGCCACCCCUCAUGUUCAAGUGGACCCAACUCCAUGGCCAUCCAAUCGAUGACGGCGGCGAGCUGCAGGCACGUGUGGUCGAGCUGGAUGACAUGCCGCCGCCGGGAGCCUGGAGCCACCGCACUCCACCCCAAAUCCCACUUCUCCCCUGUCCUCUUUUCUUAGCAAGAU
rnacentral:lncRNA from 1 species